rnacentral:RNase_P_RNA from 1 species
CGGUCACAAUGUUCAUUCGGAGUGACUGAGGAACUUCCGGGCUCCACAGAGCACAAUGGCGGAUAACGUCCGCCCAGGGCGACCUGAGAGAUAGCGCAACAGAGAAUAGACCGCCCGAACGUUUCGUUUGGGUAAGGGUGAAACGGCGGUGUAAGAGACCACCGGACUUCUGGUAACAGUUAGUCGCAUGGCAAGCCUCAUUGGGAGCAAGGUCAAGCAGAAGACGCUUAAAGGCUGCUCGCCUGAGUCUUCGGGUAGACUGCUAGAGUUUGGC